ensembl:lncRNA
AACACAGACGUUUCGAGUGGUUCCAACACCAGUAUUCAUUUUACAGCCGACAUUAAUCUGAACAUUUCCGUUUCAGUAUUUUCUGAAAAGACCAUGUGAGGACCCAGGGAGAAGGCAGCCCUUGACAAGCUAGGUGAGAUGCUUCACCAGAAACCAACCCUGCUGACACUUUGACCCUGGACGUCCAGCCUCCAGAACUGGGAGAAGCCUCCAGAUUUCAUCUCAGCCAUGAAUUCAUUAGCUUAGGAUUGGAGAAAGUCUGAAAAGUCAGACUCCUGUGGGUUUGGUUUCUGGCUGUGAGUCUUACUGGAGGAUCUGAAGCGAGUCAUGUCAUCUCUCCAAACUGCAGUUUCCUCAUCUGUUAAGUAGAAAUGAUCCUGGCUUUGCAAGGUUUUAAUGAAGAGUUCACAUUGUUUAUGGAAAUGCCUGGUUUGGGGUUUUACAGACAUUUACUCUAUUCACCCUCUUCUUCCUGAGUAAGUCUGGCCAACAAUCUGAACGGUAGCUCUCCCCCCUGCAUUGUAGCUUGUGUGUGUGUGUG